UACGGAGGGUGCAAACGUUGCUCGGAAUCACUGGGCGUAAAGCGCACGUAGGCGGCUCGUAAAGUCGGAUGUGAAAGCCCUGGGCUCAACCUAGGAAGUGCAUUCGAAACUGCCGAGCUUGAGUACGGGAGAGGGUUGCGGAAUUCCCGGUGUAGAGGUGAAAUUCGUAGAUAUCUGGAGGAACACCGGUGGCGAAGGCGGCAUCCUGGACCAUUACUGACACUGAAAAGCGAAAGCCAGGGGAGCAAACGGG
rnacentral:rRNA from 1 species